rnacentral:rRNA from 1 species
UACGAAGGGGGCUAGCGUUGUUCGGAAUUACUGGGCGUAAAGGGCGCGUAGGCGGCUUUGAUAGCCGGGUGUGAAAUGCCUGGGCUUAACCCAGGAACUGCACUCGAAACUCCAAGGCUUGAGUGUGGGAGAGGUUGGUGGAAUUCCCAGUGUAGAGGUGAAAUUCGUAGAUAUUGGGAAGAACACCGGUGGCGAAGGCGGCCAACUGGACCACAACUGACGCUGAGGCGCGAAAGCGUGGGGAGCAAACAGG